CUACGGGACGCUGCAGUGAGGAAUAUUGCACAAUGGGGGGAACCCUGAUGCAGCAACGCCGCGUGGAGGAUGACGCAUUUCGGUGUGUAAACUCCUUUUAUAUGUCAAGAAAAUGACGGUAGCAUAUGAAUAAGCACCGGCUAACUCCGUGCCAGCAGCCGCGGUAAGACGGAGGGUGCAAGCGUUACUCGGAAUCACUGGGCGUAAGGGACGCGUAGGCGGGUUGGAAAGUCAGGUGUGAAAUCCUACAGCUUAACUGUAGAACUGCACUUGAAACUUCUAAUCUAGAGUAUGGGAGGGGGAGAUGGAAUUAGUGGUGUAGGGGUAAAAUCCGUAGAUAUCACUAGGAAUACCUAAAGCGAAGGCGAUCUCCUGGAACAUUACUGACGCUAAGGCGUGAAAGCGUGGGGAGCAAACAGGAUUAGAUACCCCUGUAGUC
rnacentral:rRNA from 1 species